GGAGAAAUYUAAACGGCCGCGGAAUUUUAACCGUGCUAAGGUAGCAUAAUCAUUUGUCCUUUAAUUAAGGACUUGUAUGAAUGGUUAAACGAAAUAAAGCUAUCUAUAAAGUAUUAAAUAAAAAUUAUUUUUAAAGUGAAAAAUCUUUAAUACAGUAAAAAGACAAAAAGACCCUAUAGAGUUUUAUUCAUCACUAUAAAUAAAUAUAAAUGAAUUUAGUUGGGGCAACUAAUGAAAAAAGAAAUUUCUUUUUAUUAGCUAAAAAUAUAAUCAUUAAUUUAAUAAUAUAAAAUAAAUUACCUUAGGGAUAACAGCGUAACUUUUUUUGAGAGUCCAAAUCGAAAAAAAAAAUUAC
rnacentral:rRNA from 1 species